CCUACGGGUGGCUGCAGUGGGGGAUAUUGGACAAUGGGGGGAACCCUGAUCCAGCGACGCCGCGUGAGUGAAGAAGUAUCUCGGUAUGUAAAGCUCUAUCAGCAGGGAAGAAGAAAUGACGGUACCUGAGUAAGAAGCCCCGGCUAACUACGUGCCAACAGCCGCGGUAAUACGUAGGGGGCAAGCGUUAUCCGGAAUUACUGGGUGGAAAGGGAGCGUAGACGGUGAUGUAAGUCUGGAGUGAAAGGCGGGGGCCCAACCCCCGGACUGCUCUGGAAACUAUGUGACUAGAGUACUGGAGGGGCAGGCGGAAUUCCUAGUGUAGCGGUGAAAUGCGUAGAUAUUAGGAGGAACACCAGUGGCGAAGGCGGCCUGCUGGACAGUAACUGACGUUGAGGCUCGAAAGCGUGGGGAGCAAACAGGAUUAGAUACCCCGGUAGUC
rnacentral:rRNA from 1 species